GACUCAGUUGGUGACCUGCUUUGUAUGCUUCAGGCAGAUAUAGGCAUUGUGAUUGGGUCUAGCUUAAGCCUAAGGAGAGUGGGAAAUCAGUUUGGUGUGUCCUUUUUACCAUUGUUCCCUGGCUUGGUUAAAAAACAGAAAGAGUACAUCAAAGAAAGCUCUUCCACUUGGAAGGGGCAAUCUGGCACUCUAUACACAGUUUCUAGCUGGGCUGAAAUACAUGCCUUCAUUUUGGGGUGGUAGAAU
rnacentral:misc_RNA from 1 species